AAUUGGUUGAACUCUUCCUGUCACCUGUAUAUGGAAGAAUAACAAAUGUCAUACCACUAACAAUCCAGGUCCUGGAAAACCCGAACAUUAGAGAAAUAUCAAAGUAUACAAAUGACUAGAAACAAAAACAACUAUAAAACUAGAUUUCCUGAAAAAGAUCCCUAUAUCCUUCAGAUACAAAGAGUCAACUAAAAAAAAUUUCAAUACAAGGCCCCGCAUAACAGUUCAAGAACAAACACUUCCUCAUAGCAACAGAAUGAUAUUUACUAUUGUAAUAUCAUUUUCAAAAGUGAUAACAAAUCAAAGCCGGAAAUUGGAAAUCUAAGAUAAAAUCCAAACUAAGAACAAGCUAAAAAAAAAUACACAAGUUCUCUUAUCAAGAGGCACAUAAUGUCUCCCAAAUUUCUGGCAGUAUCAAUCUUGCAGUUUUUGCACAUUAGCCCAACCAAAGAGGACAUCUGGAAGACAAGUUUCUAUAUAAUAGUAGGUGAUCAGAAAUUUUCUAUAACAAUAAUCACAUGCUAACUGCUAGAAGAACCUCAUUGAACCAUAUCGUUCCAACAAGUAAAAUCACUUCUUAAUUGGAAUUGAAACUCUUCUGAGUUGCAGCUCUGUUCUAGAAGGACAGGUUAGUUUAUAGGUACAAGUAAAACUUAACACGUCUACAACCCAAUUCAACUCAACCAAGCUUUUAUCCAAAAAUUUGGGUUGGCUAUAUGGAUCUAUCAAUUUAAUUAGAAAUUUAUUAUAUAAUAGCUACAAGCCUCCCAAUUUAAAUAGAGAAAUCAGGAUAUUCCCGGUUACCACCCCUACAAAUAACCUAAGAUUGCUAGAAUGAAAUCAAAUAUAAUCCUAUGAAGCCCACAAUUUAAACAAUGAAAAAAUAAAAAAGAAAGAAAAAAAAAAAAA
rnacentral:misc_RNA from 1 species